rnacentral:rRNA from 1 species
AGAGUUUGAUCAUGGCUCAGGAUGAACGCUAGCGGCAGGCUUAACACAUGCAAGUCGAGGGGCAGCGGGGUGUAGCAAUACACUGCCGGCGACCGGCGCACGGGUGCGUAACGCGUAUGCAACCUACCCAUAACAGGGGCAUAACACUGAGAAAUUGGUACUAAUUCCCCAUAACAUUCGAAGAGGCAUCUCUUUGGGUUGAAAAUUCCGAUGGUUAGAGAUGGGCAUGCGUUGUAUUAG